UUUGCAGGCACCAGCUGCUGAGGAGAGCUAGGAGAGUCAGGACCCACCACUACAGGAGCUGACUGCUCCGAAGGGCCACAUACAGGCUGUAACCCCCAGGACUUCACCAAGGUGGGCUUCGUGUAUGUUUGGGGGAACAGCUGGCAAAGAUUGAGCUCUUCCUCUUUUUCACUAGCCUCCUGAGGGCAUUCAGAUUCCAGCUGCCGAAAGGAGUGACAGAAAUCAACAAAGAACCUAUGCCAGGACUUACAAGACAUCCCCAUCCUUAUAAGAUUUGUGCUGUUCCCCGCUGCAGUACAUGAUCUUCAUAUGGAUAAUUGGCUUCAAUUUGUUUUAACUGAUCAUUGAGAUUAAUUGGCUCAAUUGCUUAGGAGCAUUAUUUGUUUAAUUGGCUUAAUAAAACAUUGCCCUUUUUCAUCCCA